UAGUGUAUUCCAAGCACCUGUGGAGCUCUUUCCACAGUUUGAGCUUCUGUUUUCUCCCCCAGCACACAGCUCUAUUGCACUUUGCUUCACCUUCCAUCUGAGCAUCUCCAUCCAGCCACAUGGAUGUCAUUUGUUGUCUUGGCCUAUCCUGAAUUUUGGCCAUCUGAAUGUAGCAGCAAAGCAUGAAUGCCUGAAGGAGAAAACGAGAAAAGAGGGGAGCAGGGUAAUGCAGGUAUUAAUCUCUCAGUUGAUGAAGAGUGGUUUCUGCUCUGCAUGCAUAAGAUUUCCUUGUCUUCCACAAGAUCUUUUCAAAGAGCACACUCAGUCCAGUGUAUUUUGAUGGAACUAUCUGAGGUGAAAUGGUCCAGCGCUGGGAUAAGAAGCACUGGAUGCUGACAUGUAGUGAUGUGCAAGCUCCCCUGUCUGAGAUGAGUAUAUCUCUAACUUUGCUCUAAUUAUCAAUCACUUGAUUCAUGUCAGAGCACUCACAUUUAAAUCAGGUUUUUGUGCUAUUUAGACAGGUACUCUGUAAACACAGGGAGAAAAGGUGGUUUCUGGAACGAACAGGAACGCUGCCUGAAUGGGUGGCUGAGUCCAUGUUCUGUCUGAACAAAUUAAAAGCAAGAGUCUUUCAUGCUAAAUUUGUAUGGCCCUCUGCACAAAUUGCCCAAUUUAUUUGGGUGGCGAGAUGCUUUGGGACACAGGGUUUGAUAAAUGCAUUCCAUAGGACACUGCAAGUUGAAUUUAAGUAUAAAAUGAAAUUCUCUGUGUGUUGGUUUUGAUGUUCUUAAUUUAGUCCCUGGUGGACCGCGGUCUGCAUUACAAAACCUUCACACAUAAUUUGGCACAGUUUGGGUGAUUUGCAGUCUCUUCCCUCGCUCUCUCUGCAGAGGAUGCCUUGAGCAGAGCCUGCGUGGAGGCUGGGUGACCUCUCCUCUCUCAGGAGGGUGGUCUCUUCAGGUCGCUGUUCAGGUCAUUUCUGCGGCAGGGUAAGGAAGCUCUGACUGCUGCUUCUUCGCUUGUGUGGGUAAACAGAGGACUUCAGUAUCCAGCACUACCAGCCCUUAACCUUCAGAAGCUAAGCAGUCACCGAGGGGGAUGGGGAAGAGAUGCUAAGAGAAAGUGCAGGGCAAAGAAUGUAAAGAAUUUUGCUUAUCUGUGACAAGUUUCUAAGCGUGUUUGAUUAUGGUAAUAAGGGUAUGUCGUUAACAAAGGAUUUUGAAGGCAUGUACACCAUUGAUAAUCAGCCCUGGCCAAAGUACAGCGAACAUUUAAAACUUGAUAUGGGUUCUUCUUCGAUGGGAUGUGUUUGAAAUACAGCAGCGCUUUAGUGUGAAUGUGGAAUUUCACUUGAUGCACAAGGGUGGGGCUGCGGCAGCUAAGGAAGGAGCUGUAUCUACCAAAGAUAAUGUCCCCAUCACAGGCAAGAGAUGACUGUAAAACACACACAAUUUCCAGUCCUUAAAACGCUCUGUAAUUGCAAAUCUGCUCAUUGUUUUAACUUAUCUCUGCCAGUGCUGUGCUGAAUUAGUCCCUGAAUGGGAUCAAGGGAAGAGAAGAGAAAAGGAAGGAUGGGAACGAGAAACAGAAUAAAGCAAGAUAGCCAGAGAAAAGGGAAGGGUGGAGGGGGUUAAGCAUAAUUGCCCUAUGGCUUCAUGUGAAAUUAUAAAAGCUCUUGAACAUCCUUGCUGAACCAGCUACAAGAACAUUCUCCACAUCCCUGAUGCAUGGGAGGCUUCUAGUCUGGUGCUGUGGUGGGAAAAAGGAAAGAAAUGGUUCAGGAGGAAUUUACCUCCUCUGUUUGGAUGCUUUCUAGUGUGUGUCUUGCCUGGAAACUGUCCCAGUGAAUGUCCCCCACUACUAGCUUCUGUGCUGGUCCCCCAUGUUAGGUGCUUUGGCUCUCCAUCCAGCUCCCCACUUGUGAGAUGGGAGAUUCACCACCUCUGUGGUCACCUCUUUUCUUUGGCCUGUUUAGCACUGUAGCAGCUGUUCCCACCAACAAGCAAUCCAUGGGAAUUUACUCCUGCCCACCUGAAGCAUUCCUGGUUUUGCCUCCUUAUCUCCUAAUGAGUUUAUAAUCUAGAACAGAACAGUAGCCCAGCUGUUCUCCAGACUCCUUGCCAGAUAGUUUCACUAUCAGGCACAUUCAGGUGACACACAAGCUACUUCUGGCCCCAUGUGGGCUCCUGCGUGGGUGCUUUUUUGAGGAGGAAUGGGCUUGAACAGAAAUUGUGAAGGCAAAUGGAAGAAGAAUGAAAACCACCCAUGAAUGGGACUCUUCAGGUGUGUUCCAGUGUUGCCUUCUAUGAGACAUGAGAGGGCUGGUCUGUGUGCCUGAUGUCACCUUUCAGGAUGCAUGGAAAAGAAGUGAAACUCUCUGGAGCUUUCCUAAGAUUCGGGCUGCCUGUGGAGAGAUGACUGUGAUGGCUGCCAAACUGAUUCAAGGCGGGUUGAUGCAGAGGAGGUGACUGCUGGUGCCCGUGUCUGGUGUAGACUACUCUGCUCCUUGGUGAACAGCCCUAAAGCCAUAGAUUUCAUUUGAUCUUUGCAAAGGCUAACAUUUGUCUGCUGUCAUUUUAGUAAGAUUGAUGACAGGCUGGGGUAGGCGAGGAGGAGGGUGAGUGCAAUGGGAGGAAGGCUGGUCCCCACAGC